rnacentral:rRNA from 1 species
AUUUGGAAACAGAUGCUAAUACCGCAAUAAAACCUAACACCGCAUGGUGUAGGUUGAAAGAUGGUUUCGGCUAUCACUUUAGGAUCGGACCCGCGGUGCAUUAGUUAGUUGGUGAGGUAAAGGCUCACCAAGACCGUGAUGCAUAGCCGACCUGAGAGGUAAUCGGCCACACUGGGACUGAGACACGGCCCAGACUCCUACGGGAGGCAGCAGUAGGGAAUCUUCCACAAUGGACGAAAGUCUGAUGGAGCAACGCCGCGUGAGUGAAGAAGGUUUUCGGAUCGUAAAACUCUGUUGUUGGAGAAGAAUGUAUCUGAUAGUAACUGAUCAGGUAGUGACGGUAUCCAACCAGAAAGCCACGGCUAACUACGUG